CCUACGGGGGGCAGCAGUGGGGAAUAUUGCACAAUGGGGGAAACCCUGAUGCAGCGACGCCGCGUGAGUGAAGAAGUAUUUCGGUAUGUAAAGCUCUAUCAGCAGGGAAGAAAAUGACGGUACCUGAUUAAGAAGCCCCGGCUAACUACGUGCCAGCAGCCGCGGUAAUACGUAGGGGGCAAGCGUUAUCCGGAUUUACUGGGUGUAAAGGGAGCGUAGACGGUGAUGCAAGUCAGAAGUGAAAGCCCGGGGCUCAACUCCGGGACUGCUUUUGAAACUGUGUAACUGGAGUGCAGGAGAGGUAA
rnacentral:rRNA from 1 species